GACGAACGCUGGCGGCGUGCCUAAUACAUGCAAGUCGAGCACAGGAAAUCAUCUGAACCCUUCGGGGGGACGUUGAUGGAAUGAGCGGCGGACGGGUGAGUAACACGUAAAGAACCUGCCCUCAGGUCUGGGAUAACCACGAGAAAUCGGGGCUAAUACCGGAUGGGUCAUCGGACCGCAUGGUCCGAGGAUGAAAGGCGCUUCGGCGUCGCCUGGGGAUGGCUUUGCGGUGCAUUAGCUAGUUGGUGGGGUAGUGGCCCACCAAGGCGACGAUGCCUAGCCGACCUGAGAGGGUGAUCGGCCACACUGGGACUGAGACACGGCCCAGACUCCUACGGGAGGCAGCAGUAGGGAAUCUUCCACAAUGGACGAAAGUCUGAUGGAGCAACGCCGCGUGAACGAUGAAGGCCUUCGGGUCGUAAAGUUCUGUUGUAAGGGAAGAACAAGUGCCGCAGGCAAUGGCGGCACCUUGACGGUACCUUGCGAGAAAGCCACGGCUAACUUCGUGCCAGCCGCCGCAGUAACAC
rnacentral:rRNA from 1 species